rnacentral:rRNA from 2 species
ACGGGUGCGUAACGCGUGGGAAUCUGCCCUUGGGUACGGAAUAACUCAGAGAAAUUUGUGCUAAUACCGUAUAAUGUCUUCGGACCAAAGAUUUAUCGCCCAAGGAUGAGCCCGCGUGAGAUUAGCUAGUUGGUGAGGUAAAAGCUCACCAAGGCGACGAUCUCUAGCUGGUCUGAGAGGAUGAUCAGCCACACUGGGACUGAGACACGGCCCAGACUCCUACGGGAGGCAGCAGUGGGGAAUAUUGGACAAUGGGCGAAAGCCUGAUCCAGCAAUGCCGCGUGAGUGAUGAAGGCCUUAGGGUUGUAAAGCUCUUUUACCCGGGAUGAUAAUGACAGUACCGGGAGAAUAAGCUCCGGCUAACUCCGUGCCAGCAGCCGCGGUAAUACGGAGGGAGCUAGCGUUGUUCGGAAUUACUGGGCGUAAAGCGCGCGUAGGCGGUUUUUUAAGUCAGAGGUGAAAGCCCAGUGCUCAACACUGGAACUGCCUUUGAAACUGGAAAACUUGAAUCAUGGAGAGGUCAGUGGAAUUCCGAGUGUAGAGGUGAAAUUCGUAGA